rnacentral:rRNA from 1 species
AUUGAACGCUGGCGGCAUGCUUUACACAUGCAAGUCGAACGGUAACAGGCCGCAAGGUGCUGACGAGUGGCGAACGGGUGAGUAAUGCAUCGGAACGUGCCCAGUCGUGGGGGAUAACUGCUCGAAAGAGCAGCUAAUACCGCAUACGAUCUAUGGAUGAAAGCGGGGGACCGUAAGGCCUCGCGCGAUUGGAGCGGCCGAUGUCAGAUUAGGUAGUUGGUGGGGUAAAGGCUCACCAAGCCAACGAUCUGUAGCUGGUCUGAGAGGACGACCAGCCAAACUGGGACUGAGACACGGCCCAGACUCCUACGGGAGGCAGCAGUGGGGAAUUUUGGACAAUGGGCGCAAGCCUGAUCCAGCCAUGCCGCGUGCAGGAUGAAGGCCUUCGGGUUGUAAACUGCUUUUGUACGGAACGAAAAGACUCUGGUUAAUACCUGGGGUCCAUGACGGUACCGUAAGAAUAAGCACCGGCUAACUACGUGCCAGCCGCCGCCGUAACAC